GCCGCUGUAGCUCAGUCGGCAGAGCAUCUCACUCGUAAUGAGAAGGUCUGGGGUUCGAUUCCCCACAGCGGCUCCA
rnacentral:tRNA from 1 species